rnacentral:rRNA from 1 species
UACAGAGGGUGCGAGCGUUGUCCGGAAUCACUGGGCGUAAAGGGCGCGUAGGUGGCGGCCCAAGUCCGUGGUGAAAGCUCGCCGCUUAACGGCGAGUCGGCCACGGAGACUGGGUGGCUCGAGCACUGUAGGGGCAGAUGGAAUUCCGGGUGUAGCGGUGGAAUGCGUAGAGAUCCGGAAGAACACCGGGUGGCGAAGGCGGUCUGCUGGGCAGUUGCUGACACUGAGGCGCGACAGCGUGGGGAGCAAACAGG